UACGUAGGGUGCGAGCGUUAAUCGGAAUCACUGGGCGUAAAGGGCGCGUAGGCGGCCUGGUAAGUCAGGGGUGAAAUCCCACGGCUCAACCGUGGAAUUGCCUUUGAAACUGCUGGGCUUGGAUCCUGGAGAGGGUGGCGGAAUUCCUGGUGUAGGAGUGAAAUGCGUAGAUAUCAGGAGGAACACCGGUGGCGAAGGCGGCCACCUGGACAGGUAUCGACGCUGAGGCGCGAAAGUGUGGGGAGCAAACAGG
rnacentral:rRNA from 1 species